UUGAACUGAAGAGUUUGAUCCUGGCUCAGAUUGAACGCUGGCGGCAUGCCUUACACAUGCAAGUCGAACGGCAGCACGGGUGCUUGCACCUGGUGGCGAGUGGCGAACGGGUGAGUAAUACAUCGGAACAUGUCCUGUAGUGGGGGAUAGCCCGGCGAAAGCCGGAUUAAUACCGCAUACGAUC
rnacentral:rRNA from 1 species